rnacentral:tRNA from 1 species
GCGAAAAUAGCUUAAUGGUAGAACAUAACCGUACAAAGGCUGAGGUUGAGGGUUCAAGUCCCUCCUUCCGCU